rnacentral:misc_RNA from 1 species
GUCUUGUUUUGAUUUUGAUAAGGUUAGAUUUAGGUUGAUCUUGGUUUUGAUUUUAGUUUAGGUUAUCAGUUUGUUUCAAAAAAUUUAGCUCUGAAAAUAUUAUUUUAUACAUUAACUGAUCAAGUUAUAUAACAAUAACUUUGUUACUAGUUGGUAUCCAAAAAAAUUAUUGAAUAAUUACUUCUUUACAAUAAUAAAUUAUGCAUAGUAGUCAACGAAGAAAGCAAAUCUUCCGUAUCAGGCAGGGGUUUACCAAUGAUGUAGAUGACAUUAUUAUUGAACCAGUUUUUUUUGGCUCGGGAACCAGAGAGGACUCAGAAACAGAAACAGAAACGACUAGUCAAUUGAGACUUGUGAGAAAAGAACCGAAGAAACUUUAUAAAACAAGCGAAUUCAUUUGUAAGUAUUGUAAAUUCAAUGCUUUAUCGGCGAUAAAGUUGGGAAAGCAUCUUCGAAAUGAGCAUAAAGACGAACUGCCUUACGAAUGUAAUUUGUGCGACGUGAAAUUCGUACGCAACAAACAUUUGCUGUCACACCUGAGGUCUCACGAGGAAGGGAAGGCGUUUCUGUGUGACGUGUGCGGCCACAAAUGGGCCACUUCGCGACUAUUGGACCAGCAUCUGAUGAGACACUCGGGCCACAAGCCGCACUUCUGCACUGUGUGUGACUUCAGGUGUGUGCGCAAACAAAGCCUGUUCUACCACAUGCGUACGCACACGGGCGAGCGACCAUUCCACUGCGACCUGUGCGACUUCAAGUCGGUCAACACGUCCAAUCUCAAAGUGCAUCGGCUCACACAUUCCAAGGAAACUCCUUUCGUUUGUAACAUGUGUAAUCUGACGUUCAGCCGGCUUUAUCAUCUGAAACGACACCAGCGAUCGCAUCUAGCUGAGAGACGCUACUUCUGUGACCAGUGCAGUGCCAAGUUCCUUCGAGCUGAUCACCUGAAGAGACAUAAAGCGAGACACUUGCAACAAGAGCUCAAAUCUAGGAAACAGCAGACAACUGAAACAGUGACUGAACUUAGAAAAUGCCGUAGAAAAACAUUGAGCGACUACUCGCAACAAGAGUUCAUACCAAGGAACCAGCAGACAACUGAAACAGUGACUGAACUUAGAAGAUCUAGCCGUAUAAAAACAUUGAGCAACUAAACAUCACAUCACCUAAUUAUUAUUACUCCACUUAAAAAUGUAGUGUUGUUUUUGAACUUGUGGUGAAUAAUAAUAUUUCCAAGAUUUUGCUGACAAUAAAAAGAGGAGUUCACUUUUCAAGUGUGACAAAUUAUUCGGGAGAUACCAUUGUUGAACACACGGAGAGUGAUCGUACUUUGCAGAAAUCUUCAAUCGAUAGUCUUAAUGCAAAAACUGUUUUGAAUAAUGUUGAUGAAUACACUGAAGUAGAGAAUGAUCUUUUAAUGACUUUGAAAACACGUUCCGAAAAAAUGACAACAAUUAGCAAUUUGAUAGAGAAGAUGCGCGAAAAAAUGAAACAGAGAGUUUCAGUUUGAAAUGGGUUAACAUUUUGUUUUUGGUACUUACUGUUCAGAAAUGAAAUUAAACUUUGCUGUGUCAAGUUUA